GAAAGGUGGUCAGGAUGUCAUGACACUGUUUUAUGGCUUGUGACUUCCUGCUGGUUUACCUUCUCUUUCAUGACCCAUCACCAACAGAUGUGAGUACGCUUCAAAAAAAGAGAGAGGAUUCCUGACAAACUUACAUGCUCAUUGUGCAGCGAGGGAGGGAAUGCUAGAAAUAUAAACUUGCAAGAAUUUCAUUUUACUUGGGUCAAUUUUAUGCUGCAUGUUCAUAGUUCAUUUACAAACAUGUUGGCAGUCUAUACAUUAUAUUAAUUAAUGGAACCCUUUUGUGUUGAAGCAAAAGAACUUUUUAUUAAAAAAUGCGCAAUCUUGAAGUAAUUGAAGCCCUAAUUAUGGUGCACAAAGAGCAAAAACUCUUUUGUAAGUAGCUCUAGCACUUGGAAUUUGUGCAAUUAAUUGUAGCGCUCACAUCUUCUUUCCCUAGUACUUUAUUUCUUAAAGAAAUUUGGAAGUCUAGAAUCGGAAGGACCUUCAAAAGUCAUCCAUUUUAAUCUCAUGUAAUGGCCAGGAACCACCCAACAUCUUUAAACGGAUUAAGCUGCUCCUAUAAUGACAUAUAAUCAAAUUAAAUGAUAGUAUCCUGAAACUGAAGAGUUGCAGGGACAGGUUGAAGCCCCUGCAGCAAAUGUGUUUGUAGAAAAAAGGGGGGAAAGUAAGAAAAACAUAGGCUGUGUACAUGCUAUACCUUUAAAGCACAUUUGAAGCAUCUUCUUUCCCUCAGAGAUUUCUGGGCACAGUAGCUUACCCCUCACAGAGUUACAAUUCCCAGCAUCUGACAACUACAGUGCCCAGAAUUCUUUGAGGGGGGGAAUGUGUUUCAAAUGUCCUUCAAAAGUAUAGUGUGUAUGCAGCCUUAGCUAACAAACAGUUAAGCAUGAUAUUUUUCCACCAGCCAUUCUGGAAAAGACAGAAAAAGGGGAGGCGGGGCAGAAGGGACUUUUUUUUUAUAAUGAGUCGUACCAAUGGUCCACCUAGCCCAUUAAGAGCAAUAAGACCUGCACCAGCAGUUAGUACUACCAGAUCUCUGGAGAAGAGACUUAUCAUCAUUAUGGCAAUUUGUCCCCCUCAACAUUUGCCUUUUGCUGCUGUCAGUCUCCUCUGGAUGAGAUACGGGGGAGCCAGCUGUAUGUUAUCCAGCCUGUAUGUCAGCCAUAUGUCAUCUACCCCUCAUCCCUGAACUGUAUUUGGAGUGCAGCAAUACAAGUUCCAGAAACUUUCUUGUUGAUUAACUCUUACUUUGCUUCUGUUUGCCAAAUGGUUGAUUCUUGACAUUUUUUAAAUUUACUGGCCUGUAAUUUGUAUGUUUGAAUUGCUAACGCUCUGUAUUUUGAUGCUUGGAAUGUUUGCUGUAAGCUGCUUUGGGCACAGCUCAUUGUAGAAAAGUGGAAUAUAAGUAAACUCUAUCAAUUAAUGUUAACAGCUCUUCGGAAUCUCGGGAAUCUUUUUUCUAGUUCCUCUGAAAAUUUUUCUUACUGGGACAACAAUCCCCAAACUGGUGCCCUCCUGUCAAUUGGCCAUACUGGAUAGGACUGAUUGAGCUAUGAAUUAAAAACAUAUGGAGGCACCAGGUUGACAAAAGCUGAACUAGACAUUCUGGAAGAUCACGCACUUGAAAUUUGUGCUGUGCAUUACUAAGUUCCUGCCUGUCCACCACUCUGAUUCUUUCUACUAAUGACCACAAAGACUUUGCAAUCUUUGUCUCACUGAGCUUAAAAAAUGACUUUCAUACGGGUUCACAGUAUAGAGCUGUGAACAGGGGAAGCAGCUUUCGUUAUCUGGAGCUGAAGACACUUAAAAGACAUUUGCAUUUUUAAAAUAUAAUUAAACCUGAUUUUUUAAAAUGUAGAACAGGGAAAACAUUUCGCAACAGCCAAAUGGCCUGAGGUCCCUGAUAUCUGCCAAACAUAAUUUCUUGAUUGACAGAGGAUUUGAGGAUAGAUGAAGGCAUUUGAAAUAGCCACAAAAUAUUCAGCAUCCACUUACAAAGCUCUCCUCUCUGCUCAUAUAAUAUGGGGUAUUCUCCAUGAAGUAUGAAACUGCAGUCCAGGUACUAAUUCAGAGAUUUCAAGGCUUCACACUUUGCAUGUCCAUCAUUCUGAACAAGAGCAGUUCUGCUUAAACUAGGCUUCCAAACAACAUUGCCACAUCAGCUAUACACUUUUUUUGGGGGGGGAGAAGGAAUUUUGCAGUGGUGAACACUCCUAAUCUGCAUCGUGAAGGACAGCACACAAAUGUCUCUGCAUGUUCCAACGUGAGGCCAUUGAAAGGAGUUUCCGCAAGGUGACCAUAAAGCAUAAACUGAUCUGAUUUCAUGCACUUGGUUUUCUCUAAUGGUGAAUUCUUCAUGGAAGUCAUUUGCGGUCUCUGUGGGAUUGUCUAUUGUUUUUAUGCACCUUUAACUCAGCCAUGUAUGCAUUAUCCUGGAAGCAUGUGGGUGUGCUAUGCGAACCAAAACACAUAUGAAUGCUAUGACUAAAGAGGUAUAUUUCUUUCUCCUCUUUUAUCAUGGCAGUUGCAUGUACUAAUGUACAGAAGUCUAUUUUCAUAUACCAGACGGUUGUUAAGCCACUUAUAAUACUAUGAAGACAGGAGUAUUAUAUGUGAUUACAGCCACUUAGCUGCCCCCUAAAGAAAGUUCUGAAUGCUAAGUACAUUUCAGUUGCUAAAGACAGGAUGAGCACAGAGUGUACAAUGGAUGACUAUUUGAAUGCAACCAUUGUAAACAGCUAUCAUGGUUUACCAGAUGUACAGUACCUAUCCCUUUAUUAGUUUUAUGAUUAUAGUCAGCAAUAUUCAUUACCAUAAAACUAGCUAUAAAUAUGUAUUUAGAGAGUACAUUAUAAACCAAUAGGUUUCUUAAUGGUUCCCAUGCACUAUAAAACAAAUAGUGUAAAAAUGCAGGAACACAAUAUGAUGUUAUAAUUUUGUUGUUUUUAAAACAAAGAGAAAGAUGUGUGAAUUAUUUCUCAUGUGCUGUCUUGAGGAAAAUGGGAGGUGUGUCAAAAGGAAAAUCAGAAUGGACAAGAUGGCUGAUUACUGAUUUUAGCCUUUACUGUGAAGGGUUGACAAACUUGUCAUUACCAAUAUCAGUUUUCCGUAUAAAACAUUUGCAAGUGAUUCUAUGAAGGCUGCUCAUAAGGCUUACUUCUUGCAGACAUCUGCACCAAGGCAUGGAUAUCCAUUCAGGGACACACAUGAGAAGCAGCAAGUAGAAAACCGACCUGUGAAUCAAGAAGUUCCUUCUUCAAAUCUUGCUUCUGGCAUGAAUUCGUAGGUCACUGCAGGCAAACCACUCCCUGUCAGGCCAGAGUUAUCCACUACCAUCCAUCUGCAAUAUGGGAGAUAAUAAUACUGACUUAUCUUACAAGUUGUUUGUAAGGACUACUGCUAGAUAAUGCAUGUGAAAUGCUUUGAACACUUGGAAGUGCUGUACAACUGUGAACUCUAAUUAGAAUAGGGUCACUAAUUGGAAAGAAUAUUUCAUCACCUUAUAUGAACAGCUGAC